CAGGAAAAUGCGUUUGUGUCGGAAAGAGCGCCGUUGGUUGAAGUCGACAACAGAGCAAGUCGCAGCACUAAAACGCUAUUGGAACGAAAAAUAAGCGCUCUUAAACGUGAUGCAGAAGAGGCACAAAGGAAGCUGGAGCAAAAAAUUCAAGCGAUAGACUGUGAAAAUGUUCGGCUACAAACCUGCGCUAAAAAGAGGUUGGAGGAUAAUAGUGCAUUGAAGCUGCAACUGUGAGGAGAAUGUAGGUAAAAUUAGUAUACGUUCAAUAAUUUAUUUCCAUUUCCGAAGUGAGUCAGUAACACGCGAGAAUGUCGUUUUACGGGAGAAUGAAAAAAAAUUGCAAAAGACCAUAUCUGCCCUACAAGAGCGCAUUCGAGGUGCUGAGUUUGAGCAAAAAAAUAUGGACGAAAAACUCUCUGCAAUAUUCACUCCUGGCCAAAUAAAAAAAUAAAACGUGGUAGCAAGCGUAUCAAG